CUACGAGAAAACAAGAUGAACUAUUAAAUGAAAUUGUUGAUUUCCAUUUGGAAAUACACCAUAUUUCCCUGUGGCCAGUGCUCUGAUUUGAUUUAAUUUGUAGGCCAGAAUAAGGGAGUUACUAGAAGAUCUGCAUUCUUGUCUUGCUUGCUUUUAAACUGAUUUUUAAAAAGCACCAACAUAUAGGAACAUAUUUUGAGAAGAAUUUCAGUUCAGGAUACAGUGUUUUCACACAGGAGUGGACAAAAGGAUUCUUCAAUUACAUAUUCACUUUCUGUUCCAUCUGUGUAUUCGCAGUGCUGAUAAAUCAAGGAUCUCUUCAGGUCACAAUUGAGGGUGUUAUUGGUGGCUCUGCUCUCCUGCCAUGUUCUUUAACUAAACAUGAUCUAAAACCACAGGAGGUGCACUGGAGAUACAAUGACAAGGAGGAGGUGUUUGACAUUAUUAAUGGUGAAGAUUCACUAAAGAUGCAGAACCAGCAGUACAAGAACAGAGUUGAAUCUUUCCCUGAUGAGUAUCUGAGAGGAAACUUCUCCAUCAAACUAAGCAAUCUUCAACAGACUGAUGCUGGAAAAUACAUCUGUUACAUCUCACAUACAUCUGAACAGCAAACUGUGAAGCUGAUCAUCAAAGCUAAUGAAGGAGCCACGAAGGAAAACCUACAAAACCAUGGAGAAGUAAAAGGUCUAGAUGUGACUUUGUGCUGGCUUUGCGCUGUAGCAGCUGUAGUACUGUACUUAUAUUGAUCAUCUUUAUAUUUCAUUUUAAGAAAAAAGAAUUACAUCUGUUUUGUUCUUUUAAAGAACAAAGGAUUGUGACUGUUCCAGGUGUGUUUUGUGCAGAGCUUUAAAAAAAAAUCUAUUCGGUUUACUCUGACCAGAAUUGAUAUUUUAACGUUUCUGUUCUUGCUUUCCUUAUUAAACAAUUCAUUCCGAAAAAAAGGUUUUCUAGAAAAAUACAAUUUAAUAAUGUUAUUUUAUUACAUAGCACAAAAUAUUAGAUUGUUAAUAUUGUAUUCUUAGCCAUUAAGACAAGCUUGUCGCAUCAGAAACGACUCUCGCUUAUGACGUCUGCUUCGUGGGCAUUUCACAUUCUAUGCAUUACCGUUGCAUUUGUACACACUAUUUAAAUUAUUGCUUUUUGUCUCCCAACUGUUUAUAAUAAAGAGAACAGUAAUAUAACGUUAUUAACCAGUUAGUUGUAAUUUCAAAUAAGCGUUUCUUGUUCAGAAUGAAGGCGUCACGGUGGCGCAGCGGGUAGCACGAUCGUUCAUUCCGCUGUGGCGACCACUGAUUAAUAAAGGGACUAAGCUGAAAAGAAAAUAAAUGAAAGUUCAGGUGUGCGUUUCCCAAACAAUGACGUAAAUCGCGGCUGAACUAUCGUAGUACGAUGCAUUAUUUUGGAAAAGCAUGAUGUAGUGAUGAGUGUUUCCCAAAACCCGUAGUUUCUCUGUCGCAGAUCCAUCGUUUGAACUAAGUUAGUCAUAACGUAAAAUGCCCAUAAUGAUGCUCUAAACGGGGGGGAGUAACUACUUCUUAAGAGAAGAACCCCAUCAUUUCUUUGUGCAAAUUAUAUUGUUACACACACACACACACACACACACACACA